GACGAACGCUGGCGGCGUGCUUAACACAUGCAAGUCGAACGGAAAGGCCCUGCUUUUGUGGGGUGCUCGAGUGGCGAACGGGUGAGUAACACGUGAGUAACCUGCCCUUGACUUUGGGAUAACUUCAGGAAACUGGGGCUAAUACCGGAUAGGAGCUCCUGCUGCAUGGUGGGGGUUGGAAAGUUUCGGCGGUUGGGGUUGGAUUGGCGGCUUAUCGGCUUGUUGGUGGGGUAGUGGCUUACCAAGGCUUUGAAGGGUAGCCGGCCUGAGAGGGUGACCGGCCACAUUGGGACGGAGAUACGGCCCAGACUCCUUCGGGAGGCAGCAGUGGGGAAGAUUGCACAAUGGGCGGACGCCUGAUGCAGCAACGCAGCGUGCGGGAUGAAGGCCUUCGGGUUGGAAACAGCUUUCGCCUGUGACGAAGCGUGAGUGACGGUACUGGGUAAAGAAGCCCCGGCUAACUCCGU
rnacentral:rRNA from 1 species